GAAAAAAAGUAGGAAAUGUUCUAAUUGUAAUUUAACUGGUCAUGUAGCUACAACAUGUCCUGUCCUCCUUUUCAUGGAUUAUGACUUUAGUUCCAGUGAGGAUUCUACAGAAUUGGAUGAUGCUGUUGAUGAAAGUGAAAAUUGUACACCCUCGAUGAUGAUACUAACAAAGAAGAUGGCAGUAGUGCUCCAGUGAAGAAUAAACGAAUGGAUGAUGAUUUAAGUAUAUCAAAAUUAAAAUAUAAGAAACAAAGGGUUUCAAAACCGAAUUUGAAGGAGGAGAACA